AAUAAGCUAUUUAAGAGCGUACGGUGGAUGCCUAGGCUCUCAGAGGCGAUGAAGGACGUGAUAAGCUGCGAUAAGCUGCGGGGAUUGGCACACACAAUUUGAUCCGCAGAUUUCCGAAUGGGGAAACCCACUAUAUUGAAGAUAUAGUAUCCGUUAAGGAAGCAAACCCAGGGAACUGAAACAUCUAAGUACCUGGAGGAAUAGAAAACAAAAGUGAUUCCGCUAGUAGUGGCGAGCGAACGCGGAAUAGCCCAAACCAAAAUUGUUUCGGCAAUUUUGGGGUUGUAGGACCACGUUAUUGAAUGUUCAAUGAAUUAGAAUUCUUUGGAAAAAGAAACCAUAGAGGGUGAUAGUCCCGUACAAGUAAAGAGAAUUAUUCAUAGUGGUAUCCUGAGUAGCGCGGGACACGUGUAAUCCUGUGUGAAUCUGGCGGGACCAUCC
rnacentral:rRNA from 1 species